AAGAAGUCAUGUUUCAGGCUUCAUAUAUCGUAUUUGCUGCUUUUUUUCUUUGUGGGGAAGCGGCUCUGACUGUGACACAAAGUCAAAUGAGUGUUACAAGACAGGGGAAUCGAGAGAAAACUGCCCGGCUACUUUGUGAUGUGAAAGGACUAGCUACUACAUAUGUUCAUUGGUACCAACACAAAGAAGGCUCAGCUCUGAAGCGGAUUCUUUAUAAAACGGAUAAAUCAAAUAACCCUGUGCACGACGAUGACAGUUUAAAAGUAUUCAAGGUUGAAGCAGGCAAUAAUGACCUUAUUAAACACAGUAUCACUGAGAAUGACGCUGCAACAUAUUACUGUGCCGGUUGGGAAAUUACCAGUAGCGGGUGGUACAUUAAGGUAUUUGGUUCUGGGACAAAGCUUGUUGUCACUAAUAAACAGACAAAAGAACCUGCAGUGACCGUGUUCCCGCCUUCGUUUAAAGAUGACACAGUCACGCUGGUCUGCCUGGCAGAGAAUUAUUUUCCAGAUGUCAUCAAAUUAGAGUGGAAGAAAAACAGUGAAACAGUGCCUGAAGCGAUGGUGCAGGAUGAGAAGGUCAAAGCCACCAUUAUGCUCAAAGUCACUGGUGACACCUUUGUCAUGGACCACUAUUCCUGUCAUGUGACUCAUGAAUUAAAAGUAAAGAACUAUUCAAUACCACGGAAAACAGCUCAACUCGAACCAGUCACUGCACCAACGUGCCCACCAUAUACUGAUGAUAAGAAAACAGAAACCAGUUCUUUGCCUGCUUUUAAUGUGGGCACGCUUGCUUACACUCUCUUAAUCCUGAAGAGUGUUACGUAUUGUGGAAUCAUAUCCAUCCUAACUUCCAAGACGAAGUCUACUCAGGUCCUUGGCAUCAAGAAGAGAGUGCCUUGAAGCACCAACUGUGUUUGAAGUUGAAAGAAAUAUAUGAUAUUGAUGCUUGUCAAUUUUGUAACAACAGCUUUGCUUUACAAUAAAUGAUUGUAUUUUAAUUAUUUUGUUCCAUGUUUUAGCAAUGGUUACAUAUUAAACUUUUUAUGUGGCUGGAUGCGAAAAGAUUUAUUUAAAAAAAUGUAGGUUUGCUAGUUUAGUAGCUUUGUAAGCAUGCUUAUGAUUAUUAUAGCAAGUUGGAAAAAUAAUAUAUCAUUUUAUUAAAAAAAAAUAGAAUUGUUUAAGGAAACAGUUGACAUGUUAACUAUUGCAUUUUACAGAAAUACAAAUAAAAUCUUUCAAUUUUAAA